UUUUUGCGUUAGGGAUUGCAGUGAAAAUCCUUUUUUAAAAAUAGGGAAUUAAGCCCUUCUCUGUGAUAAAAAUUAACAGAUUAUCAAGUUGUUGACUUUUUAUAAUGACGUAAAAAAGAUUGUAACGUAAAGCCCGACCCUUG
rnacentral:sRNA from 1 species